UUAAAUUGAAGAGUUUGAUCAUGGCUCAGAUUGAACGCUGGCGGCAGGCCUAACACAUGCAAGUCGAACGGUAACAGGAAGCAGCUUGCUGCUUUGCUGACGAGUGGCGGACGGGUGAGUAAUGUCUGGGAAACUGCCUGAUGGAGGGGGAUAACUACUGGAAACGGUAGCUAAUACCGCAUAACGUCGCAAGACCAAAGAGGGGGACCUUCGGGCCUCUUGCCAUCGGAUGUGCCCAGAUGGGAUUAGCUAGUAGGUGGGGUAACGGCUCACCUAGGCGACGAUCCCUAGCUGGUCUGAGAGGAUGACCAGCCACACUGGAACUGAGACACGGUCCAGACUC
rnacentral:rRNA from 1 species